AAUAAAGGUGUCACAGGCAUGUGUAACAAAGAGCCCUCUUAGGCUGUUCCUCUCUAAUGGUUGCACUGUUGCAGCUGAAAGGUAUACUGCAAAGGAGAGGACAUAGCGGCUGAUGACAUCUGAAAGUGGCUAGGCAAAACCUGACACACAAAGAACGCCCCUGUAACAGAUGGCUUGCCCUCUAAAUGCUGCAGAGCUUAGGGAUAGCCAACCUGGACUACUGAAGAGGCACCCCUGGAUUGGAUCAGUGAUCAGUUAAAGACUGCUUAAAGAAAUUCAUCCAGGACAAGGAUUCCCAAACCUUUUGGACUUCAUCCUAACAGCGAGAUUGUCUCCUGGACACCUCCGCACAGUCAGGUUGGCACGGACCAUUCUUGAUUAUAGGGAUGCUACUUAGCAACUACUUACAUGGAAAAGCAACAUCAGGAAGGUUCUGUGUAUUUUUAGCUUCUUUCUGUGCAAUGUACCAGCUGGAAACAAGGAGGGACAGUGCCAUGUGAGCUGCUAGCUCUCGACCGGCCACAAACAUGUCCACCAAUCUGAGAACUGCUAUGUGCUUUGCCCCCCCCUGUUUUUCUAUCGGCUGUUAUGUUUUCUCCAUUUUUAUUAUGCUCUGUGUAGUGUAAUAAUGCCAUUGGAGUUUACAAUGGCAAGAGUUCAGGACAAGAUGCUGUAUUAAUGAAUCUCUUUUUUUUUGUCAGAGUCACUGUCAGAUAAAUUAAGUCACCCAUUUAGAGCUUCAUUCUCCCAUACGCUGGAAAACCCAGCACAGAGAAGUGGAAACUCUGUUUUACAAUUCAGAGUUUCCCUGGAUAUUUACACUGGGACACAUGGUUUGCCAUAUGCAGAAGAAGCUGAGGCUUGCACUCAAACACCCAUUGCUCACCCCUGUAAUCUACUGCAGGCAAUAUUCUACCUGCAGUAACAUGCCCACCUUCCCCAGUAGGUUUCAUGUGUAGAAAAAUCCAGUAGAGUGGAGACAUCCCCACCUCCUCCCAGUCGACAGAGCCUGAAUGCUGGGAAGCCUCCACCGAGGGAAACUCUCUUGGAGUAGCAAGGGCCAGCAUACAGUGAAGCUGGCAUCCCCUUUCCCUUCCAUGCAGACUUCCAAAAACACAAAAUUUAUUGCAACAGAGGGUCCUGUGGCACCUUUGAGACUAACAGAAGUACUGGGAGCAUAAGCUUUCGUGGCACUUUUCAUCAAUAGAUCUUCAAGCACUAUACAAAGGAGUAUCAUCUCCAUUUUAUGGAUUGGGAAAUGGAGGCACAGCUGGAGAAGUAACUUGCCCAAGGUCACCCACAGGUUUAUUCCAUUAUAGGCAUAAUGAUCCAAAUUCAUCCCUGGCAUAACCCAAUACACUUCAGAGAAGUUCCACCAGGGACAGGUCUGUCUUAAUGUCUGUAGUCGGGCUUGAUCCUACCCAGGGCACGUGGGAUAAUGCUACCACAUGGAUGGGAUCCGAAAUGUCACUGAACACUGCACGGCAAUCCUGCUGGUGCAGCUCGCCAGGUGUGCCAGGUGCAGAGAGCUACAUACACAUGGCCACCAUGCAGUAGAGGCAGUCCAGAAACACCCACACCCUCCAGGAGAGUGUGCUCCAUGCUGUUACGGAUGUGCGAUACAGGAGGCUGCAGGAACUGGAAUUCUGGUUUCCAAACUACAUUUUCAAAAUGUUACCUUAGUGUGAUAAUUGUAAAAAGUGUAUUCUGAAAACUAAAAUUCAUUAACUCUUUAAUGCAGACAUUUAUGAAUGACCACAUAAGCAGGUUCUUAACUUAACACAUGUGCAUAAGCCCCAUUGAAGUAAAUCCCUUCCCCAUUGCUAUGAAAGUGAGUGGGACUAUCUGCAUGAGUAAAAUGAGUAGAAUUUGAAUCUAUAUCAAGGUUUCAGUGACUGUCACUCUCAUUCUAAUUAAAAAAAUAUGAAAAAUUAAGCAACGAUCAAUUGCAAGUAUAAUCCUCUGAGAAAUUAUGGAAAUUCCCCUUGUAAACAGGAAUGAAACUGAAGAUAAAUGAGUUGAAGGAAGGGAACGCCAUUCCCUUUGUUAAAAUAAAAUGUGGCUAUAAUAUAUAUAUAUAUAUAUAUAUAUAUAAUGAAAUUAGGAAGAGAUUAGAAAAGAAAUCAAGUUCCAUUUGCUACAGGUUAACACUUUUCUUAUUGAAAUAGAAUUAUUAUGCUUUUAAUCAUCAAGAAAACAAAGCAGAGACAUAAACCUUAUGUUCAUUAAAAAUGCUUCUCUGCUUGGCUAUUUUGGCUAGCUGUUAUUUGUUGCAUCUUAUUCAUUCAGGAAAUCACUUAAACUAGUGCUUAAAUUCCUCUGUUCAACUUUAGCACUUGCUUAAGUGCUCUCCUGAAUGAGAUUAAAAAUCCAUCAGUUGGUACCAAUUAUCUCAUAGGCCUUGUGAGUUCAGGAAAUUCACACCAGUGUAACUAUAUCACCAAUGCAAAGUCCUAAAGCAUAUACACUGCAUCAAUACAAAUGUACCAUGUAGUGACUGCAUUGGGGUUAUAUGGAGCGUGAUUUGUAUCUGUUUUAGAAAAAAAAAAAGACCUCACUCAAUAGGAUUCUAUUUAACUGGGAGUUACAAAAAUAGUUUUAAGUGCAUAUUUUAAAAUUUAAAU